CCGUGCGGCGCGGAGGGCCGGGGCCGGGGCCGGGGAGGGCCGGGGACGGCGGGCUGCGAGCGCGGCCUGGUGCUCGGUGGGCGCCGGGGUCCCGCCUGUCCCAGCGCUGCCACGGCACUGGGCGGGAGAUGAUGGAGCUGGGGAGAGCGGGAAGGACCAGGUCACAGGAUCACAGAGCCGGUCGGGUUGGAAGGGACCACAGUGGGACAUCUGGUCCUCCUGUUCAAGCAGGGUCAUCCCAGAGCACAUGACACAGGAUUGUGUCCAGGCGGUUCUUGAAUAUCCCCAGUAAGGAAAACUCCACACCUUCUCUGGCCGACCUGUUCCACUGCCCGGUCACCUGCACAGUAAAGGCCUUCCUCAUGUUCAGGUAGAAUUUCCUGUGCAUCAAUUUCUGGCUGUUGCUUAUCAUCCUAUUGUUUGGCACCUCCAAGAAGAGCCUGACUUCAUCCUCAUCACACCGUCGCUUAAGAUACUUUUGGGCACUUCUCACAAUAUUUACAGGGCAACAAGAGGCCAGUGGACAAUGCAUAAAAUGGAUGAUUUUUCUUGCAAGACCCAGAUGUGCAGUUCCUCUCUGCAGGUUAUUCUGGAUGCUAGAAGCUUUUAUGAGUUCACAAGGAGACAGAGUUAAUGCAAAUGCUGAGACUUGUGAAAUACACUCUAUGGUGCUCAUGAAGAUACAGAAGCUAAAUGUCGGUACAUUUCAUUAACAAGCUGGAAAUUGAAACAAGCUGUCGGUAAUUCAUUAACAAGCUGGAAAGUGAUCAAAGGCUAGAUGUAUUGCUGGCAGCAGAUUGUCUUCAGAUUUGCAUUUAAGCCAUUCUUAAAGUCUAGCCAACCUUAGCUAUAAUUCUUCAUCAAAAGCAAUUGUCUGUGCUUAAGCUUACACCAUGGGACAAUGUUCAGUGCUAGCUGAAGUUUUUUAUUCACAGUAGUAUCCCUAUGGGCAAACAUGUGCUGUAUUUCUCUUGUUCAUGGAUGUGUAUUUCUAAAAGGCCUGAGAGAUUGUGUGGCAAUUGCUGGAGUCUUCAUCUGUGAAAGUGUCUCCUUGGAUAUUAGUUUCUGGAAGAGAUGAACCUAAUUAGAGUAGAGGUGUUCAGCAGAGCUCCCCGAGUUCACUGUCACUCCCGCCUGAUCAGCUGUGGCAGUUUCAGGAUACCCAUCUCUCUCCUGGGGCUGGACUGACAAGACUUGGCUGCUUGGCUUUGUCUCUGAAAUCUUGUGACCUGUAAGCAUUGCUCAUGCUGCCUUUCUCUGCCUUUUGCUGAGGCUUUUGCAUUAAUCACAGGCAAGGCCUAUGCUCCAUGUGUGGGCCCAGGAGGUUUGGGUUAAAGGUGCUUUAAAGGAAUUCUUUGAAAGAAUUUCACUCAAAACAACAAUGGAUGGUGGUAUUGCAUGAGUCUGAGUGUGCCAAUUUAUGAUCCAUCCUCCUGUUUCCAUCCCCAAAUAACUGAGAAGAAUGUAACUAUUUUCUGAGGAAGUAAUCUUUUUAUCUGUCAAGGUAUGGAGAAAGUGUUGUGUCACUAGAGGAGAAGCUUGGCUUAACUCCCUCCCCCAACAGAAAAGCUCUUCAAAAAGAUAUAGCAGCAACUGGUCAUUCAGUAUUCAUUUGUACUUAAAAUCAGAAAUAAAUAUGCACACCUUUCCUUGA